rnacentral:lncRNA from 1 species
GGCAUCAUGAGAUUGUACUUGAUGGAUGUAACAUGAGAUUGUACUUGAUGGAUGUAAUGAUCCGAUUCCGACCUGCUAGCAAUAAUAACUCGUUGGUCCCAAUCACUUGUCCAAAAUGUUUAAAUUCAGUUAUUAUGACUAGUCUAGUCAAGCUUAUAUAUAAGCUCACAUCUAGCCAUAACUAUAUAUAUAUACCCCACAUCUAGCCAUAACUAUCCAAUGUAGGACUAUUAGGGUGACUAGUCUGAUGUGUGAUUAUUAGGGUGACACGAGUCCGAUGUGGGAUUAUUAGGAUGACGUUACACAUAUACAGUUCCAACCCUAACUUAGCCUGUCAUUCACCGAUCCUGGCUCAAUCUGUCAUUCUGUCCCUGGCUAAGCCAAGACUCAUCUCACACUUUCGGGUGGUGAACUGAUUCUGAUACCAAAUGUAACUACUCGACCCGCUAGCAAUAAUAAUUCGUUGGACCUAAUCACCGGCCAAAAAUGCUUAAAUCCAAUUAUUAUGUCCAGUCUAGUCAAACUUAUAUACCCCCACAUCUAACUAUAACUAUUCGAUGUGGGAUUAUUAGGGUAUCACAAUGGAAUGGACAGACAAAUUGGAAAAAUGAUUACGCAUAUAAGUGAAAAAAUAGGCAAAAAGUAAACAAGAAUAUGAUUAACCCUAAUAGCUAAUGAUCUGAUUGUUGCAUAAAACAUAGGCAAUGCUAGGUUUAUAACCAAAAAGUGUUGUAAUAAUCUUUAAAACACCUCAUCCAAGGAUUGUAGGGUUUACCAACUCCUUAUUAUAGUCUUUACUUAAAAGGAAAAAAAAUGAUAAGGCAAGUAAAGAAAAGUAGGCUUGGAUGAAAAUAGUUGAAGGAAUAGAAUCUAAGGUAGGUUACAGACAUAGUACUCAUGUAAAAAAAAUAAAAAUAAAAAUGUAUAGAAAUUAUCUGAAAUUGUAGACGAUUUUGCACCGACUACCAACCUUUCAAAUUAUUUAAUUUGAGACAGUGCAUGAUAAUUUGACUUUAAAAUUUAAGAUAAUUACUUAUUUUAAUCAAUUAGUUGCGAAGAUUAAAUGAAACUUGCUAACCAAAUUUGUAAAGGUAAAUAAUAUAUUCAAAUUUUAAAGUCAAAAUAUUAUUGACUGACUCAAAUCCUCAUGCCCUCGCCCUCAUCCGCACACCCCCGCCUUCCUUGCCUCCGACCCCGCCUAGGCCGCGCCGCGACUCAUUUUUUUUUUAUAUUUUCCCUCUCCGACCCUCGAUGGCUCUUGUGAGACAAUCUAAGUUACUUAUUUUCUUAUAUGAUUAUUUGUGCUCUUCUUAACAUUUAAAAUUUGAUUCAGUUUUACUUAUUUGUGUGGAUUAAUUUUAUGAUCAAAUACUUUAUAGAGAUUCAACUAGAUUUAAUAUAUAUUGGUUCUAAGGUGUUUGAGCCAUAGUGCUUGGGUUUAAUUUGGUUUUGAGAGAAUUAAAUUGAAAUUAAAGGUUAAAAUUUAAGAAUGAGAGUAAUUGAAAUUUUUAUACUAAAUCAAUAAUAUCUAUUACUACCAAUUAUUUUUUAAAAAAAAU